rnacentral:tRNA from 1 species
GGUGUUGUAGCGUAAUGGAAGCGUGUCGUUUUGUGGAGCUGAAGGUUGUGGGUUCAAAUCCCGUCUGGAUUA